UGAAUGUAUUGUAAUAAAUGUUUAGGUACAGGGAACUUGCUGUUCUCCUGCUCUAAGUGCCCAUUUAGAGGUUAAGGGAGACAGAUAUGCAGACAGGAUUUUCUAAAGCAACAAAGGAAUUAUUACAGGGCAAGGGGAAGAAUCUUUUCUUGUGAGCUUCUUUUAAAGGAAUAAAGCCCAUUGGUAAUCGGGAUCUAACCAGGGAAAUCUCCUCACUCCUUUUAUAUGGCAAAGUUUCUUGCUGAACUUCUGGGUUGCACACUGCCAGAGAAAGGCACCGCUCCUAUGUAUGAGAUUUUUUUGCCUGAGAUUUCUACUUCAGAAUUAUU
rnacentral:lncRNA from 1 species